rnacentral:misc_RNA from 1 species
UCUCCGUUGGUGAACCAGCGGAGGGAUCAUUACCGAGUUUACAACUCCCAAACCCCUAUGUGAACGUUACCAAACUGUUGCCUCGGCGGGAAAUUCAUGCCCCGGGCGCGUCGCAGCCCCGGACCAAGGCGCCCGCCGGAAGACCAACCAAAACUCUUUUGUAUGUCCCUCGCGGACUUUUAUAAUUCUGAACCAUCUCGGCGCCCCUAGCGGGCGUUUCGAAAAUGAAUCAAAACUUUCAACAACGGAUCUCUUGGUUCUG